UACGUAGGGUGCAAGCGUUGUCCGGAAUUAUUGGGCGUAAAGGGCUCGUAGGUGGCCAACUAAGUCAGACGUGAAAUCCCUCGGCUUAACCGGGGAACUGCGUCUGAUACUGGAUGGCUUGAGUUUGGGAGAGGGAUGCGGAAUUCCAGGUGUAGCGGUGAAAUGCGUAGAUAUCUGGAGGAACACCGGUGGCGAAGGCGGCAUCCUGGACCAACACUGACACUAAGGAGCGAAAGCCAGGGGAGCAAACGGG
rnacentral:rRNA from 1 species